rnacentral:rRNA from 1 species
UACGAGGGGGGCGAGCGUUGUUCGGAAUUAUUGGGCGUAAAGGGCGCGUAGGCGGUCGGAUAAGUCUCGUGUGAAAUCUUCGGGCUCAACUCGAAGUCUGCACGAGAAACUAUCUGGCUUGAGUGUGGGAGAGGUGAGUGGAAUUCCUGGUGUAGCGGUGAAAUGCGUAGAUAUCAGGAGGAACACCUGUGGCGAAAGCGGCUCACUGGACCACAACUGACGCUGAGGCGCGAAAGCUAGGGGAGCAAACAGG